AGUGAGACGUGUAACCACAACAGAAGUCUGGAGAGAUGGGCUCAAGGAAAGCUACUUUCACAGACUGGGUGAUGGAUCGUCUCCUCAGCAGACAGACAGCUAGAGGUACUUAUUUUUAUAAAAAGUUGACAGAAGGAACUCCAGACAUCCCGGCCUGCUGUCUUCUAAUUCUCACGUCCAGAGCUGACUCAGCCCUGUCUGUUUCCCUUUGCAGGAUGGGUGAGCAGCCAACCAUGUGGAUUUGAUGGAUGUCUCCCAGAUAUGUUCUUAUUUGCCAGCCAAAGACGGAGGAGAGGCCUGUCUACUUUAUUCAAGCAAACUUAAACAACCUGCAUGUUGUCAUGAGCUGGAUACCCACACUGCAUUCCUUAGUAGGCUCCCGACGAAUACCAAUUUUCUAGCUAACUGCUUUCCUUGCCUUCCCAUCCUAAGCCCAAACAUCACUUGCUAGAUUUCAGUGAGAUAGAGCAUCUCCGUAAGGAAACUUAGAUAAGCCACGUCUGACAAAAUCCUUAAGGAUUUCCCUUAUUCCUUAUGGAUUAAGAAAUCCUUAACCCAUAAGGAAUAAGGGAACUCCACAAGGAAACUUUUGUAAGAGAUUUCAUGAGAAAUGCCAGGCCUGCCUUUGGGUCAAUGCACACUCACUCCCAUCUCCUACAACCUGUGGCUGCAGUACUCACUACCGGCCAGUUGCAAUCCAAGAUCGGAAUGUUGAGUCUGACAUGCUGCGACGUUUAUAACCAUCCAAGAAGAAAAAUAAAAUAAACCAAAAAACAGCUUUGUGGCCGGGCGCAGUGGCGCAAGCCUGUAAUCCCAGCACUUUGGGAGGCCAAGGUGGGCGGAUCACGAGGUCAGGAGAUUGAGACCAUCCUGGCUAACAUGGUGAAACACCGUCUCUACUAAAAAUACCAAAAAUUAGCCCGGUGUGGUCGCAAGCGCCUGUCGUCCCAGCUACUUGGGAGGCUGAGGCAG
rnacentral:lncRNA from 1 species